UCGGGAAUUUUGGGCAAUGGGCGAAAGCCUGACCCAGCAACGCCGCGUGAAGGAUGAAGUAUUUCGGUAUGUAAACUUCGUAAGAAUAGGAAGAAUAAAUGACGGUACUAUUUGUAAGGUCCGGCUAACUACGUGCCAGCAGCCGCGGUAAUACGUAGGGACCAAGCGUUGUUCGGAUUUACUGGGCGUAAAGGGCGCGUAGGCGGCGUGGUAAGUCAUCUGUGAAAUCUCCGAGCUUAACUCGGAACGGUCAGAUGAUACUGCUGUGCUAGAGUACAGAAGGGGCAAUCGGAAUUCUUGGUGUAGCGGUGAAAUGCGUAGAUAUCAAGAGGAACACCUGAGGUGAAGACGGGUUGCUGGGCUGAUACUGACGCUGAGGCGCGAAAGCUAGGGUAGCAAACGGGAUUAGAUACCCCAGUAGUCCCUGAGCGGGCUGGCAAGGCGCAU
rnacentral:rRNA from 1 species